rnacentral:rRNA from 1 species
AUUGAACGCUGGCGGCAUGCUUUACACAUGCAAGUCGAACGGUAACAGGCCUUCGGGUGCUGACGAGUGGCGAACGGGUGAGUAAUGCAUCGGAACGUGCCCAGAGGUGGGGGAUAACGCAGCGAAAGCUGUGCUAAUACCGCAUGUGAUCUGAGGAUGGAAGCGGGGGACCAAGCAGCAAUGUUUGGCCUCGCGCCUCUGGAGCGGCCGAUGUCAGAUUAGGUAGUUGGUGGGGUAAAGGCCUACCAAGCCGACGAUCUGUAGCUGGUCUGAGAGGACGACCAGCCACACUGGGACUGAGACACGGCCCAGACUCCUACGGGAGGCAGCAGUGGGGAAUUUUGGACAAUGGGCGCAAGCCUGAUCCAGCAAUGCCGCGUGCGGGAAGAAGGCCUUCGGGUUGUAAACCGCUUUUGUACGGAACGAAAAGGCUCUGGCUAAUACCUGGGGCUGAUGACGGUACCGUAAGAAUAAGCACCGGCUAACUACGUG